UUUUCCCUCCAUUCUCUUUAACAACAACCGCCGCUAAUGAUAUGAUAUUUAUAUAGGUAUCCUCUCCUAUUUCAUCGACGAAUUAGUGCUGAAUGAUCCGUGUGGUUCUAAAUUCGUUUUGCACAGAUGCUGUUUAAGGGUGUCCGGAGUGGGCGGCAAACCCACUCGGCAAAGCGGUUUACCGCGCGAUAACACUGCCGCCGGUGGGUUUUUCCGAUCGGUUUGGUUUGAUCAUCGGUGAAGAUGACGAGUUAUGUAUUGGGGAGCGAUGAUUGGAUGCAUAGUUUAAACUUUUUAGAUGGAAUGACAUGGCACCCUCUGAUUGGUUGAUUUUGAAGUUUACCACUUUCAAGUGUUUAACCACUCCCUAUACCCUAAGUGUUGUAGGCAUCAAAGACAACGGACAUGUACCGAACUUGGUCCAAACUUUGAAGCAGAGUAUUAAGGCUGCCUCUAGAUUUGAAUUAGGUGGCGGAGUUGUCUGUAAACAAGAUGGAUUCAUCAGAUUUAGGGUCAGUUGUGACCGAUACUUCUGAAGCUGACUAUGCAAGUAUAGAGAUAGUUUGUGAUAACUUCACUGGUUCUGUAGAAUCGAGCAACCUUUUGAAUGUGAGCGUAACUUUCAAUGAGUCUAUUGAACGGUUCAUAUUUUCUCGUUUUGAUGGACUGUCAAAAUGGACAAACAAAGUUGCAAAACGGUUUAAGUUGGAUGGUCAAGGGUUUCGUCUAAAGUACAUUGAUGAAGACAACGAAUUGAUAUGCAUUUGUUGUGAUGACGACUUGAAUUCGGCUCUGGGAACUUUAUGCAGUAACAACAGUAUCAACUUAAUAUAUGGGAAGACUAGUUUUAAUGGUUUAUAUUAGAGUAUAUACAGUCAGCAGUUAUUUAGGCUACUACUACAGUUAGUUUGCAAUUUUCUGUUGUAGCAAUUUAGAGGCUCCUAUUCAUUGCCCAUUCAUUGUAUCUUCUCAUUCAAUCAUCAUUUUCUUAAUUCUGGUAACUAGUUUUAUUUUUGAUUGGUGAGUCUUGUUGUUACAUGUAACUGGGAAUUAGUAGACCAAAUGGUUAAUAAUAG
rnacentral:lncRNA from 1 species